rnacentral:misc_RNA from 1 species
AGAGCAAUGAGCAGUCAGCGCCCCGGGAGAAAUCCUGGGGGCCACCCUCCUUGGAGGGUUUAGAGACGUCGGGCCUCUCAGAGAAGCUCGGUUCAGACCUCCACCCUUGAAUAAAUUACCUUUGUUGCUUUGGCAGGACGCCUCGUGCCAGCGGCUUCGGCUGCUGAGUGCCUGCCAGAGGACCACAACUCUUGAAAUACAUGAUGUCUGAGUACUAUAUAAUAGUUAAAACUUUCAACAACGGAUCUCUUGGUUCU